GUGGGUCAUUCAAUCGUGUUGUUUCAAACCGUCGAUUGAACUGGGAAAAUUGCGGAUCUCUCGAUGAAUACAUGCUCAGCUUGCUGUGAUGUAAGAUGCAGAUAAGUAAUUCGAGUGGGAUAUUAAAAUUAAAAUUAUCUUCAAUCUAAAAAAGCAAUUACAGCCCACACAGAUGAAGAUACUACAAAAUCCACAGAUUUUAAUGCAGUAGAUUCAGAAUUUAUCUCUCCAGGUAACCUUCCGAAUGACCAAGGAAACUAAUGGCAACCAUUGCUGCGAGUUGAUGAAGAUUAUUGGUCUUUUGGAUUGCUUGCAUUGUGGGCUAAUCCAAUUCUCAGAAAUCGAUCGUAGAAACCCCGACGUAAAUCAGCUCAACCUGCGACUUAACAAUAAAUUGAUGAUUCCGGUGAAUCAAAUAUUCCCAAAUUUGCUUCCUAAAUUCCCAAUUGGUUGAUGUACAUUGAAAUCCUCAGAAGUAUGGCGACCUUCAUUUAUUCAAAGCCAUUUACUUUCAAAUACCCAAUUACCAUAUGAACUCUCAAACAUCUAAUACCCACAUCAACUCCCGAAUACCCCGUACCUACACCAACCCCAAAAUACCUUAUACAUCAACUCUCGAUAAUCCCAUACCUACAUCAACUCUCCUUAACGUUCAUCCCAUAUCCACGCACAUCAACUCUCGUUUACUGCAUACCCACAUCAACUCCGACAUCAACUCCUAAAGACAUCGUAUACACACAAACUGUCGUUUACUCCAUACUACAUCAACUUCCAAAUAGCUCAUAUACCCAUAUCUACUCUUGUUUACUCCAUACCCCCAUCAACUUCCAAAUAGCUCAUACCAAAUCAACUUCCAAAUAGCUCGUACCCGCAUCAACGGUCGUUUACUACAUUCCUGUAUCAACUCCCAAACACCUCAUACCCAUGUCAACACACGUUUACUCCAUACCCAUGCACAUCAAUUCCUAAAUACUUCAAGCCACAUCAGCUCUAGUUUAUACGUACACCAUUCCACGUCAACUACAAAAUUUCUCACACCCACGUCAAAUCUUGUUUACUCUCAACCCACGUGAAGGUCCGAACACCGCAUAUACCCACAUCAACUCUCUGUCACCAUUUGUUUCAUUGACUCUAAUCAGUAAUCGCCUCUCUAUGUGCCUAGAGUAUAUUUGUAAGAAAAACGCAAUUUAUGAAAUAGAAAAACAAGAAACAAAUUUACCUGUCUGACAUUAUAGUAUCCACUAGCUUUUAAUAAUAUCCUUAACUUCAAGCCAUUCUACUACCAAUUUUCAACUCUCUACACCUCUUCGCUUUCACCUGAAAUACUACCCGCCAUACCCAAUUCCCAUAUGAACUCUCAAACACCUCAUACCCACAUCAACUCCCGACUACCUCGUACCUACACCAACCCUAAAAUACCUUAUACAUCAACUCUCGUUAAUCCCAUACCUACAUCAACUCUCCUUAACGUUCAUCCCAUAUCCACGCACAUCAACUCUCGUUUACUGCAUACCCACAUCAACUCCUAAAGACAUCAUGUUCACACAAACUGUCGUUUACACCAUACCCCCAUCAACUUCCAAAUAGCUCAUACCCACAUCAUACCCAUUCACAUCAACUCCGAAAUACUUUUAGCCACAUCAACUCUAGUUUACGUACACCAUUUCACAUCAACUACAAAAUUUCUUAUACUCACAUCAAAUCCUUUUUUCUCUAUACCCACGUAAACGUUCGAACACUGCAUAUACCCACCAUACUUCUUUCAGUAGGGUUAUGACUUCAGAAAUCUUUCAUUGGUCGGGGAAUGUGCUUGUCACUAGAGGGCAAUUUAUUAUAUGCGUAUAAGAGGACCGAGUAUAAUUGGGAUCUUUAAUCACAUGCGUGCCGAUUUUAUUUGGUCCUGGGGACUUAUUACUUGGCAUGGCCAUGAUAAUUCGUUUAACCUCUGUACAAGUAACGGAUUUCAAAAUUGAACUGUUGAUCAGAUGGAUAAGUGAUUACGAUAAACAGAGGAUCUGAUAGUACAACAUUGUUGUCUGUGGCUAAAUUUAUGGCUGUCUCAGAAGCGUUCCGACCCACAGAAGGAAAAAAAGGUUGAACUCUUUUGCAAUUGUUUUUCAGUCUUUAGUCUAAACUUGCGUUUCCUUUUUUUUUGGGGGGGGGAAUUAAGUAAUCGAUUUUUUUUCUAUAGAGAUCUCGAUGCUCUCUUACUUCGUUAAAUGUGUGAUCCUUCGCUGUAGCUUUAAUUUAGUUUUUACGCUAUUCUUUGUAAACUACCCAAUCACCUUCAUCACGUGUCAAUUGAAACCGACGGAGGUGUAGGUCCCGAGACUUCAUGAGUUCUUUUAUUUCAUUGGUGACAUAUGGGCAUGAUCUAUUUUAACUGUAGUAGGACGUACACUGGUAAG